rnacentral:lncRNA from 1 species
UGGAGACGGUGGCGAAGCUCUGGCUGGCCGACUACAUCCUCUGCUCUUCUCCUUCUUCUGCUUUCCUUUGUUUCCUUUUGAUUCUGUGCCCGUAUACUUCAGUCUUCCUGCAGCUCCUGGGAUGAUGAAGGAAACAAUAAUGAAGAGCCGGUUUACUGUGAUGUUCUUUGAAUGAAUACUGGUCUUUCUUUUGUUUGCAGGGACCUCCUCCUCUCAGUCUCUUCCCCUCCGUUCGUCUGCUGUUCCUUUUCUUUUUGUUUUCUCAGUCCUUGCGAUGAAGAACAGAGGACGUUGCUGGUUUCUCCUUUCGAAAUUGGGUCUCGUUCUUUGCUCUGUUUGUGGCUUGCGUUUUAUUGGUUCUUGACUCUGUAUUUCUGGGUUGAAUCUUCAGCCUUGGUUCUGUAUUUUUGGGUUGUGUUUGCGUUGUUCCGGCGACUUUUUUCUGGGUUUUUUGUAUCGGGUUUUCUUAUGCAGGGACGUCUGCAGAGAUGAAGGCAAUAGCGGGAACAAUUCUCUGUGUAUACUGGAUUCCCUUCCUCUCCUUCUCUCUGUGUAUUAUUUCUUUGCUCUGGGGUUUUUGCUUUUGUUUUGGCUCCAAUUUUUCUGGGUUUGAUUGCUCUGCCUCCUCUGAUUUUUGGCCCCCCUCCAUGGUUUCUGGGUUUUCUUCUCCCUUUUAUAGAGAAGCCAGCCCUGCAACCAGUCCUGUCUUUGCAGGACUGUGUUAUGGAAUCCAUGAAAAAGAUUAUCGGCAAGAGACGUGGUCCAAGAUCAGAUUUGUUGCAGAUUAUCAGCUCCCCUGCUGAAUCGGAAGCUCUCCUGUUGAAUCGGGAUGGAGAAGACGCACGGCUGUUCCUUAGCAACGGUGCCGUUUUGGCUGGAAAACGGGAGUUUUCAAUUUGACCCCUGAACUUGGGAAAUUCGGCAAUUGGACCCCUAAGCUAAUUAAAAUUUUCUUUUAAUUUUUCCCUCUUUGGAUUAAUUACAUUUAAAUCCCUAAAUUGGUACACUGUUUACAAAACAGUCCUUAAUUCCUGGAUUAUUCAAUUAGGUGCUUAAUUCUUUCAAAAUUGAUCAAUUAACUCUCAAAUUACAUCCCUAAACUUCAAAAUUUGUUGUCUUAACCCCAUUGUCUACUAUAUUUAAUUUUUAUUAUUUGUUCAAAAAUUGGGUUAUGACAGUUGCCCCCUCUUUAUAAUAUUUACAAUACCAAGAUAUUGGAAAAUUUCAUUUUCCUUAACUUUGUAUAGUAAAUUUAUAAAGAAAAGUAGAUACGAAAAAGGAGUCUUGAAAACUUCGAAAACAGUCGAUUGGCACAUAACUUUUACAAAGAGAACAAGUCAUUUGGAAGACAACCCAUUUUUUUUUUUUUUUUGUUUAUUAUUAUUAUUAUUUUGUGAUGGUAUAUUGUAAUGGGUUACCGGCCCAAAUGGUCACAUUGUAAUGGGUUACCUGCCCAGUAUAGGAUGGUAUAUUGUGAUGGGUUAGUGGUCACAUUGUAAUGGGUUACCUGCCCAGUAUAGGAUGGUAUAUUGUAAUGGGUUACCGACCCAGUUGGUAUAUUGUAACGGGUUACCAGCCCAGGUGGUCACAUUGUAAUGGGUUACCUGCCUAGUUGGUCACAUUGUAAUGGGUUACCUGCCCAGUUGGUAUGUUGUAAUGGGUUACCUGCCCAGUUGGUCACAUUGUAAUGGGUUACCUGCCCAGUUGGUAGAUUGUAAUGGGUUACCAGCCCAGAUGGUCACAUUGUAAUGGGUUACCAGCCCAGUUGGUCACAUUGUAAUGGGUUACCUACCCAGUUGGUAUGUUGUAAUGGGUUACCUGCCCAGUUGGUCACAUUGUAAUGGGUUACCUGCCCAGUUGGUAUGUUGUAAUGGGUUACCUGCCCAGUUGGUAAAAUACAAGGAAUUUUUUUUUUAAUAAGACGAGGGCUCGAAGGCGCGCUCGAAUGGAGAUAAGACGAGGGCUCGAAGGCGCGCUCGAAUGGAGAUAAGACGAGGGCUCGAAGGCGCGCUCGAAAAUAAAUAAGACGAGGGCUAGAAGGCGCGCUCGAAUGGAGGUAGGAUAGAAAAUGCACUACCUAUGAUGGUCGAGGGCUCGAAGGCGCGCUCGAAAAAUCAGACGAGGGCUCAAAGGCGCGCUCGAAAAGAACUCAGACGAGGGCUCGAAGGCGCGCUCGAAUGGAGGUAAGACGAGGGCUCAAGGCGUGCUCGAAUGGAGGUAGGAUAGAAAAUGCACUACCUUUGAUGGUCGAGGGCUCGAAGGCGCGCUCGAAUGGAGGUAGGGAAUGUUUUGAUGGUCGAGGGCUCGAAGGCGCGCUCGAAAAGAAUAGACGAGGGCUCAAGGCACGCUCGAACUGAGAGGGCUCGGGCGCUCGAAUGGAGGUAAGACGAGGGCUCAAGGCGCGCUCGAAUGGAGGUAGGAUAGAAAAUGCACUACCUUUGAUGGUCGAGGGCUCGAAGGCGCGCUCGAAAAUAAAUAAGACGAGGGCUCGAAGGCGCGCUCGAAUGGAGGUAGAAGAAAUGCACUACCUUUGAUGGUCGAGGGCUCGAAGGCGCGCUCAAAUGACGAGGUCGGUCGAAUGUAAGACGAGGGCUCGAAGGCGCGCUCGAAUGGAGGUAGGAUAGAAAAUGCACUACCUCAGGUGUGGAAACUGAAAGGUGGUGAAAAAAUACAGAGAUUUUUCUGGUGGCCUAAUUCUCAUGGGCGGCCUGCCCAGGUUGAAAAAUUUCAAAAAUGAAAAUUUUCAACAGCAAUUUUGAUCUUUGGCCAUUUCAAGUUGGCCUUCCUUGAUGGAUUUUUGGAAUUUUCUCAUAUGAAAUUUGCAAAACUCAUUGUCCAAUGUCUCAAAGUUUAAAUGAUAUGCAUGCAUCUUUACCUGAUUUGAAAUAUAGGCCCCCAUUUCUUCUAGUCUUCUUGUUGCUUGGUUGGUGAGAUCUUGCUAUCUGAUUUGAGUCAUCUUUGUCGUUUAGCUUUUAGCCCACUCGAGUUGGCCCAUGUAAGUCUAUUUCCAAAUUUGUUUGCACAACUCAGCAUUUGGGUGCCCAUCGUGACCCACUUGCUUGCUAAAGAUUUUCUGAUUCGUCAAAUAAUUUGAGAGGAUUAUUCAUUACCCUCGUUCACUGCUAAAACAUUCGGUGUCACUUGCUGAAAGGAUCGAGCUGUCUUUUGUAAACCAAAAUGCCCCCUUGUCUGGUUGAAGGAAAUUACCAUAUCUCCUUUUCUAGAAUUUUCCUUCUAAACACAAUGUUGCCCCUUGUAUUGGUUAUUGCCCCUAAGUGUGCUUUGUCAGCGACUUAGAUAAAUAAAGGUUUUAAGAGGCCAUUCUCUCAUUUCUCUCCUUUUCAGUUUGGUGAGGAAUAUGGGUCUAGAAUGAAUCUUGAAAUCUUGAUCUUGCAUUUUGAAAACAAAAAUUAUUUCGAUGUGAGUCAAUAACAAUUUGCUUUUGAAAUCUUGCAACUCCUUGGUUAUUUUCUUUCUGGAAAAGAGAUUAUUUGCUCUUGUGUUUGGUAACGAGGUCUUCGGUGAAAAUAUCAUGAGAUGACCUUUUUUUUGAAGUGAAGGGCUCGAGAAAAAGCUCGAGGUUUUGUAUGAGAAAAACUUGUCUCUUUUUGAACAUUUAUUUUUAUCAGCAUGAAUAAUAAUGAGUAGUUUAUUCUUGAUGUCAUGAAUCUUAUGAAAAAGUAUUCUUUGCAUUUUGAGAGCAUUGUUUAUUGUUCUAGAUUGCUUGCUUGCUUGAUUAGAAAGGACUUCUACAGGCACGUAACAUAGGUUGUGGUUUUUGGCUAUGAAAGAAAAGGAUUCAUAAGGCUCAAAGAGUGUUUCAGGGUUUCAAAGACUGAAGAUCACGAUCAAUAGUUUGACUUUUGACGUCAUUCAUAUUUUCCUUUGCCGCUCUUCUUUGAUUUGCCCCUUUUUUUCUUUUUCAUUGCUCCGCUAGAGCAUACUCACUUUAUCUUGGUUAUCACUUUUUCUUGUGAUAUGGGCAUGCCCCCUAGUAUUUGAGUUUCUUGGGCUCUUUUGCCUUUUGGCUUUCUCACGGCUUUAUCCUCUUUCUUGAUCAUUGAAAUUUCACUUGCCCCCUUUUUUGUGAUGUGGGCAUGAUCCCUAGCAUUUGAGUUUCUUGGGCUCUUUUGCCUUUUGGCUUUCUCACGGCUUUAUCAUCCUUCUUGAUCAUUGAAAUUUCACUUGCCCCUAGUGUAGGGUGUGAUCUUAGUCGGGAUUUUUUAUGAAAGAAAAAUUAUUCAGGCUCAAAAAGGGUUUGCAAGGGAUGUACUUAUUUUAGAACGUGAAAGGAAUAGCAAAGAUGGCCUUUCCUCAUUUCAAGCGCAAGCAGCUAUGAUCAAUAAACUUUGACCUCGUAUAGUGUGAUGGUUUAUUCUUUGCAAAGAUGCAUUUCAUAAGUUAUGAGCAACAAGUUCACUACAUACCAUUAUUCAUACAUUUAAAAACACAUGAUUCAAGAGUAAUGGGGUAAGGGUGUUUAUUCUUUUUUUUUUUACAAUUGUUUUCUAAUUUAGUCACUCAAUAUGAUGGAGUUGCUUGAUUCACUUGUCAUUCUACAAGUAGAAUGUCAAAAAUAUCGUUUUUGAAUAAACAUCAAAUUAUUUUUUGAAAUCAAAAUGCCAGAUCAAUUUUUUUCAAAACUCCAAUAGGGAAACUGAUUUUUGGUAAAAGAGAUGAAUUGCGUCUAUGAGAUCGCACAAGGCUUCAAAGAUGUGUUUGUGAAUCUUUAUAAGAAAACUCUCUCAGAAAAAAUGAAUAAUGCUAAUCGUAAACACGAUUGAAUGACAAACUCAUUAUUUUCAUUGAAACUUUAGAAAAUAAGUUCAACAAGAAAGAACUUAUGACAACAUCUUGGGCUAUGAAUACUGGCAUGAUAACAUAUAAAGGGCUAAACAUUUAGCGAUCAUUGAUUGGAAUUUCUGGAAUCUUUCAAUCAUUCAUUCUCCUCGACAAGGGCAUCUUUUCAACAGUCAAUUGAAAUCAAAUGUAGAUAUUCUCGACCUAAUAUCACCAUAGCUUUAUCUUCAAGAUAGUUGAUUUCUAGGAGUCGAUGUGAAGCAAUUAGCUAUAGAAAUGAUAAGUGUCUUGGCAACCACCUUCAGUGAAACCGUUCUUCUCAGUCGGGUUAGCAAUCUUACCUAACCCAAUGGCUUGUUCAAUCCUCUCAGCUAUAACAACCAGGUCAGUGAAAUGUUGUGCAGAGCUUCUAACCAAGUAUUCAAAGUACGGAGCUUUAAAGGUGUCGGAAAAUAAAGUGAUCAUCUCUUUUUCCAACAUGGGAGGGUUAACUUGUGCAGCUAACUCACUCCAUCUCCGGGCGUAUUCUCUUAUGGACUCCUUGUUGUCCUUCUCCAUAGCUUGCAAGCUUAAACGAUCAGGUCCCACGUCGAUAUUGAACUUAUAUUGCCUCAUGAAGGCAUCAACUAAAUCCUUCCAUUUUUUAACCUUGGUAUUGUCCAACCGUAUACCAAGUGAGGGCAACAUUACUCAGACUGUCUUGAAAGAAAUGAAUCAGCAGUUUCUCAUCAUGAACCACCUCAGCCAUUUUGUUGCAGUAUGCUUUGAGAUGAGUUAGGGCAUUGAGUUCCCGUAUAUUUAACAAAUUCUGGCACUCUAAAUUUUUGGAAUGACACGUUGGGCACCAAACACAUCUCAGCAGCCUUUAUAGGAUCAUAUAGGUGAAUUCCCUCAAAUGCCCUCAUCCUUUGUUCUAGGGCAAUGAAUUUGUUCAGCUCAUCUUCUUUUACCAUUUUGCCCUUUUGAGAUUCAUUCUCUGUAGAAUCAAUGGUAAACGACAUUCUCGUGGGGUAUGCUGGAUGAAAAUGCAUGGCUUGUUGAAAAUCAGAUGACAACCCAUUUGCCCCCAGAUUCUGUAGAUUGAAGGAUUUACAAGCAUAGGUUCAGGCUGAGCUGUAAGUGUUGCUUUUCCGGAUUUAUCUCUCAAGGCCUGCUCGAGUAGACUAGUAAGCCUUGCGACUUCUUCUUUAAGAUUGUCCACCUCUUUUUGAUGUUGGGCUUCCAACUGGGCUCUUUCUUCGUUUUCCAUUUGUCUUUUCUCGAAAGGGUUUAUUAUAUGUAGGUUUCAAAUGGGAACCUAUAUUUCAACCUGUAAAUGUAAAUCAUGCAAUUUAUGCAAAAAUGUUGAUUCAAUUAAAAAUGCGUAUGGAAUGCAGACACGUCCUUCACGGGAUGACAACCUAAUAGGAAGAUCCUAAUUGUUGAGUGCAUCAAAGGGUUGGUCAUUAUCUAGUUUCAAAGGGUCUCUCGCAUGCUCAGUGAUCGUCCAUGAAAGGUCGAUAUAGGCUUACAAGUAGUGUGAAAAUAGAGGCCCUGAGUAAUAUCAGUUUGGCAUAUCAACCACUUCCAAGUAAACAAUCAAGCGAGAGUUGGAUGGUUUCACGAGUCUUACCCAGGCUAAAGCCAUUGGGGUACCGUUACUCCCCCACUUAUCUUAAGUUGUAACGUGUGUGCUCUUAACGUGAUGCAUGAUAAUAUAAACAAGGAUGCAUGCUAAAGCAGUAAAAUGCAGGAAAAAAUAAACAAAUAAACACAACGUAACAAACAUUAUAGCAAUUUACAAACAAAAAGCAAAGCUUAGUCCAUUAGUCCCCAGCGGAGUCGCCAUUCUGUCGCAUCUAACAUCGUGGCGUCCCUAAAAAAUUAAUUUAAAAAUCUUUGGAAAGAACGGAUUUCUGGCAUCCUGUUCUUUGAUGGGAAUAUUCUUGUUUAAGGAGUCGCCACCUAGUAUUAUGGUCACUAGGAACCCUAACUAGUCAACAGAGAUUCUAUGGUUCGGGACUGGUUACGUAAAAGGGAAGAUAUUAUCACCCUUUAAACGUCCUGCCUGAGGCAGACUGCAUUGCUCGUUUCGUCUUAAAUUGCUAAAUGUUUUUUUUUUUUUUAUGUUAUGAAAAUUUGCUUACAAUAUUCCUGACUCUGGCGCCAGUGAAUAUUAACUACAAAUAUUUCCAACUCUAGCGUUGAUAAAUAUUACGUAGCUAAAAAAAAACAAAUUUAAAUCAAUAUUUUUUAUUACUGACUUUGGCAUCAGUAAAUAAACAAAUAAAAUAAAUUUAUUUUUACGCAUGCACAUUUUUUAUUAAAUGAAAAUAAAAUACAAUGAAUAAUAUAAAUUUAAAUCAGUAUUUUUAUUCCUGACUCUGGCGUCAGUGAAUAAACCAAAAAAUUUAUAUUAUUUUUUUCUUGCUAAAUAAAAAUAAAAUACAAUGAAUAAUAUAAAUUUAAACUGGUAUUUUCAUUCCUGACUCUGACGUCAGUGAAUAAACCAAUAAAUUUAUAUUAUUAUUUUUUUCAUGCAUACAUAUUUUUCUUAUUUUUAUUUUUCUGCCUUUUAUUUUAUUUUAUUUUAUUUUUUAUUUUUCGCUACCUCUUUUUUAUUUUUCUGUUUUUUUUUUUUUUAGGCCCAGCCCGGCCACUGGCCCAAGCCAGUGGCCCGGCCGGGCUCAGCAGCACUGUGCAAGUGAAUUAAAAUUCACUUCCACAGUGUAAGAGAUGCUUAAUUGAAAAGGAGAGCUUCUUACCUGGUCUGCGAGGCAAUGGAGACGGUGGCGAAGCUCUGGCUGGCCGACUACAUCCUCUGCUCUUCUCCUUCUUCUGCUUUCCUUUGUUUCCUUUUGAUUCUGUGCCCGUAUACUUCAGUCUUCCUGCAGCUCCUGGGAUGAUGAAGGAAACAAUAAUGAAGAGCCGGUUUACUGUGAUGUUCUUUGAAUGAAUACUGGUCUUUCUUUUGUUUGCAGGGACCUCCUCCUCUCAGUCUCUUCCCCUACGUUGCUGGUUUCUCCUUUCGAAAUUGGGUCUCGUUCUUUGCUCUGUUUGUGGCUUGCGUUUUAUUGGUUCUUGACUCUGUAUUUCUGGGUUGAAUCUUCAGCCUUGGUUCUGUAUUUUUGGGUUGUGUUUGCGUUGUUCCGGCGACUUUUUUCUGGGUUUUUUGUAUCGGGUUUUCUUAUGCAGGGACGUCUGCAGAGAUGAAGGCAAUAGCGGGAACAAUUCUCUGUGUAUACUGGAUUCCCUUCCUCUCCUUCUCUCUGUGUAUUAUUUCUUUGCUCUGGGGUUUUUGCUUUUGUUUUG